GCGCUCGACGCCGUUCCUCUCAGGCCGCGAGCCUUCGCG
rnacentral:rRNA from 1 species